GAUGAACGCUAGCGGCAGGCUUAACACAUGCAAGUCGAGGGGUAGAACACUUCGGUGUUUGAGACCGGCGCACGGGUGCGUAACGCGUAUGCAAUCUGCCUUUCACAGAGGGAUAGCCCAGAGAAAUUUGGAUUAAUACCUCAUAGCAUAACACAACCGCAUGGUUGAGUUAUUAAAGUCACAACGGUGAAAGAUGAGCAUGCGUCCCAUUAGUUAGUUGGUAAGGUAACGGCUUACCAAGACUUCGAUGGGUAGGGGUCCUGAGAGGGAGAUCCCCCACACUGGUACUGAGACACGGACCAGACUCCUACGGGAGGCAGCAGUGAGGAAUAUUGGUCAAUGGGCGCAAGCCUGAACCAGCCAUGCCGCGUGCAGGAUGACGGUCCUAUGGAUUGUAAACUGCUUUUGUACGAGAAGAAACACUCCUUCGUGAAGGAGCUUGACGGUAUCGUAAGAAUAAGGAUCGGCUAACUCCGUGCCAGCAGCCGCCGUAA
rnacentral:rRNA from 1 species